AGAUGUCAGCAGUAUGAUGUCAGUGGCUACCAUUCCAGCUGCACAACUAGAUGAACUGCCUGUGUCUUGCAGAAUACCUUCAGCACAUUCGUCUGCAAGUUCACAUCACAGCCAAUCCAGAACAAAGACCAGCAGAAGUGGUGGAUCCAGCCGGACAACAGCUUCACGACUGACAGAGCUACAGGCAGCUAUUGUAGAGGAGAAACUGAAGAGCAUGGAGCUUGCAGAGAUGCAGAGACAGAUGGUGGAGGAGAGCAAAGCUGAAGAGCAGUGUGAGUUCCUGGAUCAACAAGCAUGCCUUGCGCUAUAUGAGAGAGAAGAUUUACUCAGAGAACAGCAGAGGAGAAGUCCUCAGCUAGAUGAAGAGGCUUGUGCAGCACACAAGACCAAAGAACUGAUCACCAAACAGCUCGAAAGCCAGCGCCGCAUUAAGCAGAAGGAGAUGGAACUGGAGAAAGCACAUCUCAUCGCAUCACUUCUUCAAGAAACAGACUGAAAAUGCAACAGCCAUUCCACAAGCCAGAAGUGAACUUGACCCAGGGCAGGUACAGGCCGAUAUACUCUGUGCGCAGAAGACGCUGCGUUUUAUACACCACACGUGCUGGGUCAGAGUGAGCAUCCGAGCUUUAAAGUUGUGUGCGUUCAUGCAGAAAAACCACACACACAUACACACCCCAAAUACCCCA